UGAAAUGCUUAGAUNUCACGAAGAACUCCGAUUGCGAAGGCAGCUUGCUGGACUGUAACUGACGCUGAGGCACGAAAGCGUGGGGAUCAAACAGGAUUAGAUACCNUGGUAGNCCACGCCGUAAACGAUGAAUGCUAGCUGUUAGCGAUAUACUGUUAGCGGCACAGAGAAAUCGUUAAGCAUUCCACCUGGGGAGUACGCCGGCAACGGUGAAACUCAAAGGAAUUGACGGGGGCCCGCACAAGCGGAGGAACAUGUGGUUUAAUUCGAUGAUACGCGAGGAACCUUACCUGGGCUUAAAUUGCAGUGGAAUAACGUGGAAACAUGUUAGCCUUCGGGCCGCUGUGAAGGUGCUGCAUGGUUGUCGUCAGCUCGUGCCGUGAGGUGUCGGCUUAAGUGCCAUAACGAGCGCAACCCUCAUCGAUAGUUACUAACAGGUUAAGCUGAGGACUCUAUCGAGACUGCCGACGUAAGUCGUGAGGAAGGUGGGGAUGACGUCAAAUCAGCACGGCCCUUACGUCCAGGGCUACACACGUGUUACAAUGGGGGGUACAAAGGGCAGCUACCUGGCGACAGGAUGCUAAUCUCAAAAACCUCUCUCAGUUCGGAUUGGAGUCUGCAACCCGACUCCAUGAAGCUGGAUUCGCUAGUAAUCGCGCAUCAGCCACGGCGCGGUGAAUACGUUCCCGGGCCUUGUACACACCGCCCGUCAAGCCAUGGGAGCCGGGGGGACCUGAAGUAUGCAACCGUAAGGAGCGUCCUAGGGUAAAACUGGUGACUGGGGCU
rnacentral:rRNA from 1 species